UACGAACUGUGCAAACGUUAUUCGGAAUCACUGGGCUUAAAGGGUGCGUAGGCGGUCAUUUAAGUAGGGUGUGAAAGCCCUCGGCUUAACCGGGGAAUGGCGUCCUAAACUGGAUGACUCGAGUGAGAUAGAGGUGUGUGGAACUUCCGGUGGAGCGGUGAAAUGUGUUGAUAUCGGAAGGAACGCCGGUGGCGAAAGCGACACACUGGGUCUCAACUGACGCCGAGGCACGAAAGCCAGGGGAGCGAACGGG
rnacentral:rRNA from 1 species